AACGAAGCGUGGUCUCUGUGGUUUUGAUUGUUGCAAACUCGAAACCGAAUUACAAGGUUUCGUUGCUGUUUAAAAUUCCCAGUCUCUUUGAAUAUUAAAUGGUUUUUUUCAGUGUCUAAAAAAGCCAUUCCUAUCAGUAAGGAAAUUUCUUAUGAAUUUACCACCAAUUGUUACCUUGUGCUGGCUCCACCUCAAAGCAAUAUACUACGGAACGCCGUUUGACCAACUUUUUUUAGUCAACUCUACUUCGAUGGUUGUCCGUUUAUUUUGCAAAUAAAUAGAUAACUUGCGUAGCCAUCUAGUGGUCAAAAUCGUCACUUGAAGGAGGGAUUUGAAUAGAUGACGCCUUUAACGGAGGAGGAGUCUACCUAACUAUUGUUGAUCGAUUGUUAGGUCGAUUUCGAUCGCCAUUGUACAGUUAAUGGCGUCGCGCAUUGGAAGUAUAUGCGUGUGUGAGUUUCGAUGGGCGUUGCACACCUUGGAGGCCUCGUUGGUUAUCAUAUUGAUAAUAAAGGUAUGUAAGGCAAUUAGUUAUGGAAUAAUUUCUCACUUUGUUCUUAGAUUCGCCAGUUGAAGAAACGUGUGCACAGUGUUUGUGCUUGGCUUCCUCGAGAGGAAAUUGCAGAACAAAGCCAUACAGUAUGGUGUCCUUCAACAAUGUCCAACCAUGGAAUGAGUCACAUGUGACUGAGACAAACAAAUGAUGCUUUUGCAUUUUGAAUAAUUAAAUUUUUAUAAUUGUAUUUCAUACAAGCUUGCGGCCUGCGUCAGCCAAUAGGGUCCAGUAAUCACAUGGUCCGCUUUGACUGUGUAGUGUAACCUACAUCCUUCCUAACUGAAAAUGUUUGGCUAUGUUAUAGCUUCAACAGUAUGAACAAUUUUGUUAAUUUAUUUUCAUUUUUAUUGUUUUGGUUUUCUUUUCAGGUUUGGAACAAAUUGUUGUGUGGAGGUCAAGCUUCAAUUUGGGAUGUGAUUUGUCAACUGUUGGUUGAGAUGGCAAAAGAGAAUGGAUUGGAUCAAAAUUUUGUUCCGCACUCAUCUUUGGAAUCCUGUUGUGCUCAUAGUUGUAGCGGAACAUUCUCGUCUUUUCAGGUCAAAAAUAACGUAUGAGAAAUCUAUUAUCCACAUGAAAUGUGGGGCCUGUUCUGGGUCACCGUUUUUUUCCCUGUGCGUCCGAAAUUUUCACCCUUCCAGAGAUUAUUGUCCGCGUCCGAGAAAGUUGUACGACGAUGAUACCUGAAUCGCUUGCUUAACUGACAAAAAAUUACGAGCUAAUGACCAACCCAGUGGAAUCCUGGAUACUUAAUCAUACGUGGUCAACACAAUUUCAAGUUCGACAUUUGUGGAUUGCAAGGAGGUUUCACCUUGGAGAAACGCGAGCAGCAGUGUAACGAUUACAUCCGGUGCACGGUCGGACGUGAUAAGAUCGUGCUAAUGCUGGUAAACGGCGGAGUCGAUUCCGCCGUUUGUGCUGCCUUUUUCUUAAAGCAUUUCUGUAGGGUGACGACUCGUCGCGAGUGCAGGCCAUCUAUAUCGAUAACGGUUUCCUGCGUAAAGACGAAUAGGAACAGGUCGCCACUAGUUAACAGCAACUCGGGCUCAAUCUUCGGGUAAUUUGAGAUACUUUUCUGGACCGUUCAGAAUCUUAUGAUUGGAAAAAAUUUCCAAAAUUCGUCGUCCUCUCACAUCUCGGAAUCUGUUUGUGUAUAGCGUUUUGGGUUUAAUCCUUACAUAAUUGAAUGACCACCUUUGUCGAAUGCUUUGUUUCGUUUACAUCGAUUAUGCUUCAAUCCUUUACAAGUGGGAAAAGGUUACGUUUAACCAACAAGAAGGUAUUGUGCGUGACUACGUACGAAUCAUGGCUUAAUGGGUGAGCAUCAGAUAGUGGCGCUGGAUGAUUGUGGAUCAAAUCCCAUUAGAGGUAGAAAGUAUACAAUAUGUUUGCUGAUUCAUUUUAUUGACGUUAUCAUUGACAGUAUACAAGCGUUUUUGUAAUUUACCUUGGUAACUUUAAAUUAUUAUAAGUGUGAACAUGUUACCCUUAAACUCCUGGUAAAAGUUGAAUCUUAAAAUGUGUGAUUCAUGGUUCAAUGGUAGAGCAUAGGAGCGGUACGCCGAAGGUUUAGGGUUCGAAUCCCAAAAGAGUUACGUUACAUUCCAAUGUAAAAAUGAAUAUCCCAGAAAAUAAAACGUUC